rnacentral:rRNA from 1 species
CCUACGGGCGGCAGCAGUGGGGAAUAUUGCACAAUGGGGGCAACCCUGAUGCAGCGACGCCGCGUGAGUGAAGAAGUAAUUCGUUACGUAAAGCUCUAUCAGCAGGGAAGAAACACUGACCUUACGGUCAGCAGACGGUACCUGAGUAAGAAGCCCCGGCUAACGACGUGCCAGCAGCCGCGGUAAUACGUAGGGGGCAAGCGUUAUCCGGAUUUAUGGGGUGUAAAGGGGGCGUAGACGGUGCGCCAAGUCUGGAGUGAAAGGCCGAAGCUUAACUGCGGAACUGCUUUUGAUACUGGCGAACUAGAGUGCGGGAGGGGUAAGCGGAAUUCGUGGUGUAGCGGUGAAAUGCGUAGAUAUUAGGAGGAACACCGGUGGCGAAGGCGGCUUACUGGACCGUAACUGACAUUGAGGCUCGAAAGCGUGGGUAGCAAACAGGAUUAGAUACCCUAGUAGUC